GACGUAGGAUGCGAGCGUUGUUCGGAAUUAUUGGGCGUAAAGCGUGCGUAGGCGGUUAUCCAAGUCUGAUGUUAAAGCUAGAGGCUCAACCUCUGUGAUGCAUUGGAAACUGGGUGACUUGAGUGCGGUAGGGGAAGGUGGAAUUCCGAGUGUAGCGGUGAAAUGCGUAGAUAUUCGGAAGAACACCGGUGGCGAAGGCGACCUUCUGGGCCGCUACUGACGCUGAGGCACGAAAGCGUGGGGAGCAAACGGG
rnacentral:rRNA from 1 species